rnacentral:rRNA from 1 species
GGACGGGUGAGUAAUGUCUGGGAAACUGCCUGAUGGAGGGGGAGUAACUACUGGAAACGGUAGCUAAUACCGCAUAACGUCGCAAGACCAAAGAGGGGGACCUUCGGGCCUCUUGCCAUCAGAUGUGCCCAGAUGGGAUUAGCUAGUAGGUGGGGUAACGGCUCACCUAGGCGACAUCCCUAGCUGGUCUGAGAGGAUGACCAGCCACACUGGAACUGAGACACGGUCCAGACUCCUACGGGAGGCAGCAUG